rnacentral:rRNA from 1 species
GUCUACGGCUGUACCACCCUGAACGUACCCAAUCUCGUCUGAUCUCAGAAGCUAAGCAGGGUCAGGCCUGGUUAGUACUUGGAUGGGAGAUGAAAACAGACUUAAUAUAUU